AGGAUGCCCACUUAAUCUGAAUUUUAGAUAAACGAUGAAUGAUGAUUUAGUAUGAGAAUGAUUCAUGAAACAUUUGGGACAUAUUUACGCUAAAAAUUAUGCAUUGUCAUUUGAAAUUCAAAUGUAAAUGAGCAUCUUGUA
rnacentral:miRNA from 1 species